CUCAUCACUAAUAUUCUCACUGCCACCUACAUUUGCUUCUGGAACAUCUCUUGAAGACGGAAUUGAAAAACAUUUCCUAGCCACUAAACUGCUAAAGGAAGACGCUGUACGCAAAGUGUCUACAUCAGACAGCGUCAAAACUCUAAAAUAUUCUUCUGUCUCGACCCAAAUGUUGGAACCACGCGACCUUUCACCUUGCCUAGAAGACUUCUUGUCUGCCCCGGAAUUGG
rnacentral:misc_RNA from 1 species